AUGCACAUCUCAUUGGCUGAGCUGGCAAAAUCAGCUGUUUUUGACCAAAUUCUUUACAAAGGCACAGGAAUAGGAUCUGCCCUGCCAGGUAAGAGCCACAGUGGAGGUAAGAACGACCCAGUGCUGCAGUAUGUCGUGAAAAACUCACUGAGAGAACAUCCUGUCAUGACCAAACUCAGACUGAAAACCCUUGAGGACCCAUGAAGCAUCAUGCUGGUUGCUAGUGAACAAGCACAACUGAUGGCUAAUCUGGCCAAACUGAUCAAUGCCAGCAAAACCAUUGAAAUUGGGAUGUACACGGGGUACAACACCCUGAACAUGACGUUGGUUGUACCAGAGAAGGGUCAAGUGGUAGCAUGUAAAAUAGACGACUACGUGAACAUUGCUAAACCUUUCUUUAAAGAGGCCGGAGUCGAGGAUAAAAUUAAUGUCCGUAUUCAAAUGUGUAUAAAAACACUGGAUGAGUUGAUAGCUGCUGGGGAAGCUGGAACAUAUGACUCUGUGUUCAUCGAUGCGGAUAAACGGAACUAUGACAGAUAUUAUGAGAAGUCUCUUGAGCUUGUGAGACAAGGGGGCAUCAUUGCCAUCGAUAAUGUACUCUGGAGUGGUAAAGUGGUGGACCCUGCUCCUGAUGACCUGACCUCCCAGGCUCUGGACAAGCUCAACAAGAAACUCCACACAGACCAGAGGAUCGAUCUGAGCAUGCUCACUGUGGGCGACGGACUCACCCUGGCCAUCAAACGCUAACAAUAACCCAUGCUAACUCAUACUAACCCGUGAUGACUCAUGCUUAAUGCAUGCUUACUCCAAACCCACUGUGAUUUAUUGGGGAUUUUUUUGAGAUGUGGUAAACAUGAAGGGCUGGAAUAAAUAGAUGUUAUUUUCAACAAGUA